GGUCAAGCGAACAAGUGCAUGUGGUGGAUGCCUUGGCGAUCACAGGCGAUGAAGGACGCGGUAGCCUGCGAAAAGCUUCGGGGAGCUGGCAAACAAGCUUUGAUCCGGAGAUGUCCGAAUGGGGAAACCCGGCCCGUAUGGGUCAUCCCUGACUGAAUACAUAGGUCAGGGAAGCGAACGCGGCGAACUGAAACAUCUAAGUAGCUGCAGGAACAGAAAUCAACCGAGAUUCCCAGAGUAGUGGCGAACGAAAUGGGAAGAGCCUUGUACUCUUUAGCAGUGUUGUUAGCAGAACGGGAUGGAAAGCCCGGCCAUAGCAGGUGAUAGCCCUGUAUGCGAAAACAGCGUUGUGGAACUAGGUGUACGACAAGUAGGGCGGGACACGUGAAAUCCUGUCUGAAGAUGGGGGGACCAUCCUCCAAGGCUAAAUACUCGUGAUCGACCGAUAGUGAACCAGUACCGUGAGGGAAAGGCGAAAAGAACCCCGGGAGGGGAGUGAAAUAGAUCCUGAAACCGCAUGCAUACAAACAGUCGGAGCCUGGAAACGGGUGACGGCGUACCUUUUGUAUAAUGGGUCAGCGACUUACAUUCAGUGGCAAGCUUAACCGAUUAGGGAAGGCGUAGCGAAAGCGAGUCCGAAUAGGGCGUUCAGUCGCUGGGUGUAGACCCGAAACCAGACGAUCUAUCCAUGGCCAGGUUGAAGGUGCGGUAACACGUACUGGAGGACCGAACCCACUAACGUUGAAAAGUUAGGGGAUGAGCUGUGGAUAGGGGUGAAAGGCUAAACAAGUCUGGAAAUAGCUGGUUCUCUCCGAAAACUAUUUAGGUAGUGCCUCGUGUCUCACCUUCGGGGGUAGAGCACUGUCAUGGUUGGGGGGUCUAUUGCUGAUUACCCCGCCAUAGCAAACUCCGAAUACCGAAGAGUGCAAUCACGGGAGACAGACAUCGGGUGCUAACGUCCGGUGUCAAGAGGGAAACAACCCAGACCGCCAGCUAAGGUCCCUAAGAUUGGCUAAGUGGGAAACGAAGUGGGAAGGCUAAAACAGUCAGGAGGUUGGCUUAGAAGCAGCCAUCCUUUAAAGAAAGCGUAAUAGCUCACUGAUCGAGUCGUCCUGCGCGGAAGAUGUAACGGGGCUAAGCCAGUCACCGAAGCUGCGGAUGCACGUAAGUGCAUGGUAGGAGAGCGUUCUGUAAGCCUGUGAAGGUGUCUUGUAAAGGAUGCUGGAGGUAUCAGAAGUGCGAAUGCUGACAUGAGUAGCGAUAAAGGGGGUGAAAAGCCCCUCGCCGUAAGCCCAAGGUUUCCUACGCAACGUUCAUCGGCGUAGGGUGAGUCGGCCCCUAAGGCGAGGCAGAGAUGCGUAGCUGAUGGGAAGCAGGUUAAUAUUCCUGCACCGUCGUAUGAUGCGAUGGGGGGACGGAUCGCGGAAGGUUGUCCGGGUGUUGGAAGUCCCGGUCCCUGCAUUGGAGAAGGCGCUUAGGCAAAUCCGGGCGCGGAAUUCAAGGAUGUGGGGCGAGCGGCCUAGUGCUGCGAAGCAAUUGGAAGUGGUUCCAAGAAAAGCCUCUAAGCUUCAGUCAUACGAGACCGUACCGCAAACCGACACAGGUGGGCGAGAUGAGUAUUCUAAGGCGCUUGAGAGAACUCGGGAGAAGGAACUCGGCAAAUUGGUACCGUAACUUCGGGAUAAGGUACGCCCUUGUAGCUUGACUGGCCUGCGCCAGGAGGGUGAAGGGGUUGCAAUAAAAUGGUGGCUGCGACUGUUUAAUAAAAACACAGCACUCUGCAAACACGAAAGUGGACGUAUAGGGUGUGACGCCUGCCCGGUGCCGGAAGAUUAAAUGAUGGGGUGCAAGCUCUUGAUUGAAGUCCCGGUAAACGGCGGCCGUAACUAUAACGGUCCUAAGGUAGCGAAAUUCCUUGUCGGGUAAGUUCCGACCUGCACGAAUGGCGUAACGAUGGCCACACUGUCUCCUCCCGAGACUCAGCGAAGUUGAAGUGUUUGUGAUGAUGCAAUCUCCCCGCGGCUAGACGGAAAGACCCCAUGAACCUUUACUGUAGCUUUGCAUUGGACUUUGAACCGAUCUGUGUAGGAUAGGUGGGAGGCUUUGAAGCGUGGACGCUAGUCUGCGUGGAGCCGUCCUUGAAAUACCACCCUGGUUUGUUUGAGGUUCUAACCUUGGUCCGUGAAUCCGGAUCGGGGACAGUGCAUGGUAGGCAGUUUGACUGGGGCGGUCUCCUCCCAAAGUGUAACGGAGGAGUUCGAAGGUACGCUUGGUACGGUCGGACAUCGUACCUAAAGUGCAAUGGCAAAAGCGUGCUUAACUGCGAGACCGACAAGUCGAGCAGGUGCGAAAGCAGGACAUAGUGAUCCGGUGGUUCUGAAUGGAAGGGCCAUCGCUCAACGGAUAAAAGGUACUCUGGGGAUAACAGGCUGAUACCGCCCAAGAGUUCAUAUCGACGGCGGUGUUUGGCACCUCGAUGUCGGCUCAUCUCAUCCUGGGGCUGUAGCCGGUCCCAAGGGUAUGGCUGUUCGCCAUUUAAAGAGGUACGUGAGCUGGGUUUAAAACGUCGUGAGACAGUUUGGUCCCUAUCUGCCGUGGGCGUUGGAAUCUUGACGGGGGCUGCUCCUAGUACGAGAGGACCGGAGUGGACGUACCGCUGGUGUACCUGUUGUCUCGCCAGAGGCAUCGCAGGGUAGCUAUGUACGGAAGAGAUAACCGCUGAAAGCAUCUAAGCGGGAAACUCGCCUGAAGAUGAGGAUUCCCUGGAGCCUUGAGCUCCUUGAAGGGUCGUUCGAGACCAGGACGUUGAUAGGCUGGGUGUGGAAGCGCAGUAAUGCGUUAAGCUAACCAGUACUAAUUGCCCGUAAGGCUUGAUCCU
rnacentral:rRNA from 1 species